GAAAAGUUCAUUUGUGUUUUCCUUCAGUUUCAGUAUCUUUAGUUAAACAGCGUUACACUGGGCCACACACAGAACCCCCUUGAGAGAAGAAUGUAAGUGUGAGCCCCUCUAAAAUCCGGAUGUACAUACAUACAUACAUACAUACACAGAGACACAGACGCAAACACAGAUACACACACAGACACACAGUAAAACUGACCACACGAACUGACCAAAAAGCAAGUCGUACACUUAAAUGUAUUAUAAAGUUAGUUAUACAACAAUAUCUGUAUCUGUAUAUGUAUAUGUACUUGUACUAUUAUUUCCUAAAGUCGAAAGCAGAGAUAUUCGAAAGAUACGUUUUCAAAGCAGCAUUCAAAAGCAGCGCAAAGCCAUCACGAAAAGCACAAAUCAGUAGGAAAGGCGAAAUGACGCCAAACAAAACAAAACAAAAACAAAAAAUAAUAUUAAAUAGGUAACAAUAACAUAAAGACGAUGGAAGCAAGAUGAAGCCAUAAAGAUAAUGUAGCAGUCCAUGCAUAAAUGCAUUUAGAAACCAGAGAAGAGCAUCCGAACAACCGAUCUACCAGUAUAGCAGUGCGAGAUUUGAAACGGCGGAAACCUGAAACAAAUCUUGAUUGGAAGAGAUCGAUGUCAUCACAAAGGGUAUUCACUAUAGUGUUAUGCAUGCGUAUACAUAUGUGUAUAUGUAUGUGUGUAGGGCGCACGAUCGAGAGGUUCUGGACAGUCGGUGUCUGUGUAGAGAAAUGAAUAGCGACAAAUACAAGAUAUAGAAAUAUGCGUUAAAGGUACAAGCCACCUAAAAUAUAGGACAAUGUUUGAUGUUGAUAUGAGUUAAUCUGGCCACAUAGCGUGCGCAUUAUAUGCAUAUACGAGUAUACAUACAUAUACAUACAUACAACUCGAGUACAAUCCCAGGAGCAGAAUCAUUUUAUAUGCCAGGUAUGCCCGGUAUGCCCGGUAUGCCCGGUAUGCCCGGUAUCCUAGGCGAGCUGGGAAGUACCCUAGACAUUUAUACAUAACCAUCAAGAGCACCGCAUAGUAUGAAGAUACCAUACGAUAUAUAAAUAAUUACAUAAAUAAACAAUAUACAUGCAUACGAACGGCAUCCAUACUCCAUCUGGGAGUAGCGAUGGAGUAGCCAUCUCUCAGUUCAGAAUCUACAAUACCUACACUCACUCAGCACCAUACCACUCGCGGAUAUCAUUUUAUGACUCUUUCCGGAGUUUUGUUGUUUAUGAUAAACUGUUUAUAGAUGUUUUUGAAUUUUAAAUAAAUUAUAUUUACUAUAUGGCAAAGGCAAAUAAUACCUAAUACCUAAACAAAAAUAAAAACAAAAACAAAACCAUAUGCGUGCGAAGCCAUAUAUGAUAGUAAUGUAUGUAUGUAUGUUUUAAAUGCUAAUACAAACGAAUCUUGAAUUGAGGCUUUGCGGGAAGCGUCGAACGAAUGAAUAUUACUGAAUAAACUGCAUAUAUAAACAUACGAUAAUGCAACUGUAUUGCAAGACAAGUAUAUCAUUUUAUUUCAAAGGCAAAUGAAUUUAACACAGGCCAACACGCCCCCCCCAGACACACCCCCCAUAUAGAUACACACACUCCUAUAUAGGGUAAGCGGUAAGCGGCAGAUCGACUGAUCGAUCACACACGGUUCCAGCAGUCGCGCCGUGUCACGAUCCAUUGCAAAUACCAAUGUAACCCACACACACGAAACUCAAGAACUAACAUAUGUGAAAUGAAACGAGGAAUGUUUAUAAACAAUAAACAAAUGUUUGAAAACUA